rnacentral:lncRNA from 1 species
GGGCGCCCUGCAUGGAUCCCCCACCCCAGCUCCUGCUCCCCGGCGGCGGCCGGUGGGCAGAAAGACCGAAACCCACUCACGGCCGCCUGCCGAAUCGCGGCUCUGCUGUUUGUGGGGCGUGCUAGAAACGUGGUCCUAAAAAGAAUGGCGUCCAUUUACAUAAUGCUUUGUUUGCGUUUCGCAAGUUUCUUUCGGUUAAAGCCACAGAAACCCCACCUCCUGCCCUUGUGUCGUUUCCACCGCGGCACCCUUUUCCGACAUUAGAAACAAUAGUGUACGCCUGUGGAGGCCUCGUUUGUUCAGGGGCUGCCGGCCAGGGCUUCAGGACGUUUCUGCGGCUUUCCCCGCGCGGCCUGGGCUCCCGCGGCUGCUUUUCGGGCCCAUGGGCGCAGCCACUGCGCCAGGCUCAAGGGGGGCGGCCCCGUCAGGGCCCGCCAUCUUGGAAGGCCUUUUUUGCCGGUUCUUCCCGCUGAGGAAGUGUCGCUCAAGACGCUGGCCUAUGAGUUGUGAUUUCUGCCUUUUCCCCUUCCUCCUUGGGCUAAGCCAGACCAGAAAGGGCCCCGUGCGCAACGUGCUUCACAAUCUCUCAGGGAAAGCGGCUAACGUGGCGCUACUCCGCCUCCCCUGUUCCUUACCCUUGGGGCGGCCGCCAUGUUUCCUGAACACAAAAUGGCGACACGUGGUUAGCAUUCGUCGCCAACGAGAAAUUGGGGUCGGCCCGAAAGCUCUAGAAUGCACCCCUCUUCCUCCCCGGGGCCUUCCACCUCCGCGAGUUUUAUGACUUAAAAAAGCCCACAGGCUGGUCUGAAGGUCGGAGGCCUAAUUUUAACGCGUUUUCCUCCCUUUAAUUUGAAACGGGAACGCGAAUGACUGUAAAAUGUGGGCACAAUAUUUAAUCUCUCGCCUUUUUAAAGCUUAAUAGUGGAUAAUAGGGGGGCAGUAUCAAGGGAUAAUUUGGGUCCCCACAGUACCAAAGCAUUUAGAAACCUCUGUUUAAUUUAAGGAAUGAGAUAAGUUACUGCUUUUCUAGACUUCCUAGCAUGGGCUGUUGUGCUGGAGAGAACGAGAGCUACGAAGAGACUACAGUGCCUCUGACUUUUUCAUAGGACAGUUGGCCGAGGAAGACAAACAUAAAGAUGAAGUGCUUAAUUCAAGGUCACACAAUGUCGGGGAUGGACCUCCAGAUUUCCUUACUGGUGAGACGUGGUCUUGUAACACAGUGGUUAAGAAUGUGACUUUGGAGCCAGCCUGCUAGGGGCUGAAUUCUGACUCAGCCAUUUACUAACUGUGUGACCUUAGGGAGGAGGACCUGGUUGAUAGAAGAAUUUAUCUCGUAGUCUUAACAUCCACUGUAAUUCCAAACUUUGAGGACGAUAGAGAUCAGUGGGCUUUGACUGCCCAGCAUGCAGUCUCCAUUCUUAGGUGGGUUCCCAAGCCUGUAAAAUGUAAGCCUUAUGCUGCUGAGGGCCAUCUUGCCACCCUGAGGGAAACGCUGCCUGAGAAUGAAACAAGCAUAAGUAAAAGCUGAGCUGUGAGAUGGAGCAAGAUGAAGGCCACAUGACAUCUUUGGAGCACCUGGAUCUAACUGUGCCUUAAGCUAGUCUAACCCUGAACAUUUCAUCAUUUCAUUGACAUGAGCCCAGGUUUUCUUUUUUUUUGGAUGGAGUCUUGCUCUGUCGCCCAGGCUGGAGUGCAGUAGCUCAAUCUCGGCUCACUGCAAGCUCCACCUCCCGGGUUCACGCCAUUCUCCUGCCUUAGCCUCCCAAGUAGCUGGGACAACAGGCGCCCACCACCACUCCCAGCUAAUUUUUUGUAUUUUUAGUAGAGACGGGGUUUUACCAUGUUAGCCGGGAUGGUCUUGAUCUCCUGACCUCAUGAUCCGCCCGCCUCGGCCUCCCAAAGUGCUGGGAUUACAGGUGUGAGCCACUGCACCCAGCCCUCAGGUUUUCCCUUUUUUUACCCCUCCUUUUGAAAAUUUGAUGUGGAAUUUUGCCACCUGCAGCCAGAAGAGUUUUAACUAAUCAGUGCCAUAAAUUUUAUAUAGUUCUCCUUGCAAAAUGUGGAUCAGCCUUUCUCAGCAAAUCCUUUGUCAUAAAGUGCUGAAUUGUAAGUUUGUCAUGAGAAUCACAUGAGAUCAUGCAUGUGAAGAACCUGGCAUUAUCCUCCUCAUAGAAAAAAACCAGUAAAUAUUAACUACAGGAAGCAAGGAAGGAGUGGGGUGAGGGGAAGAAGAAGGGGUACUGAUUUAAAAGAACCCUGGAGUCCUAAGGAUAAUCUAGGAACCCUCAGACCCAAUCCGAUACCCCUAUUCUAAAUGCUCCUAGUGCCCUGUACCUUCCCCUCAUAAGCCUUCAUUAUCAUUGUAAUGAUAUGUUUAUGUAAUAUUUUGAUUAAUGUCUCUCCUUCACUGACCUAGCAGUUCUAGCAGGGCAGUGAUUUUGCUGUGUUGCAUCCCCAGCACCUAGUCUGGUAUGUGGCAUUCAGCAUAUGUUUAUUGAAUGAAUGGCCAUGUGGUUAUUCAGAUCCUCCUUGAUUAUUGGGGUUAGGAUUGUGGCAGAAGUGGCAAAAUCAGGGAGAGUAGUCCCUGUCCCCUCUGUAUCUUAUACACUGCCCACACUCCCAACACACAUACACAUACAGAGAAUUUUGUCUCAAUUAGAUAAUUAACUUCUGCUUGGUUGUAAACCAAACCACUGGUUCUUAAACUUUCAUUGGAUCAUUUUAUUGAAGAAUUAAAUAGUGUGGUUCUGGCCUAAUGUCUGGAAAGCCUUGCAGAGGAGUGGAUUAGGUCUUUGUGAUAAACAGGCAGCCUUCCCUGCUCCUGUGUCUUUAUAAAAUCUAUUUAACUGGAGUAGUCCACCCUCCCUCAGGCUCUUACAGGAAUAUGUUGGAGGCUGUAGGAAGGUGGGAAACCGAGAGGGAAAGGACUGGGCCGCUGGAGACUUCACUCAUUCCCUAGCAAGAAACAAAAGCAGUAAAAGGUGGCCCGAGGACAACCUGAAGCUCACUCCUUCAGCACUUUUGGCUGGAGGUCACUUGUUGGAGCCCCACUCAGAGCUCAGCACACCACCCCACCAGCAGCCUCCUCCUCCCAGCUGAGGCUGCAUUUCAUCCCUUCCCCCAGCCUGCUUUCCCUGAGAUAGGGGAGUGUUUCCCAGGGCCCAUGUGACUUCCACUGGCAAGUGACGAUUACCAAUGGUUUACUAGUCAGUGAAACUACCAAAGGCUUUUGUGCUGUAGUAAUCCUUUUCCUGUUUAAAACUCUGGGGAUUUUCUAAUGUUGCCAAUAGUUUUUCAAGUCAGCAAUUACUGUGUGGAUUAUGUAAUGGCUCGGUAUUA